AGGAUGAACGCUGGCGGCGUGCCUAACACAUGCAAGUCGCACGAGAAAGUGGAGCAAUCCACGAGUAAAGUGGCGCACGGGUGAGUAACACGUGAAUAAUCUACCUCCGAGUGGGGAAUAACUGAGAGAAAUCUUAGCUAAUACCGCAUAAUACCCACGGGUCAAAGCAGCAAUGCGCUUGGAGAGGAGUUCGCGGCCGAUUAGCUAGUUGGCGGGUAAUGGCCCACCAAGGCGAUGAUCGGUA
rnacentral:rRNA from 1 species